ACGCUCGACACCUACGGGGGCAGCAGUUGGGAAUAUUGGACAAUGGAGGAAACUCUGGUCCAGUGACGCCGCGUGAAGGAAGAAGGUCUUCGGAUUGUAAACUUAUUUUGUCAGGGAAGAAAAAUGACUGUACCUGAAGAAAAAGCACCGGCUAACUACGUGCCGACAGCCGCGGUAAUCUGAGCGGGCUGGCAAGGC
rnacentral:rRNA from 1 species